GACGAACGCUGGCGGCGUGCUUAACACAUGCAAGUCGAACGGAAAGGCCCUGCUUUUGUGGGGUGCUCGAGUGGCGAACGGGUGAGUAACACGUGAGUAACCUGCCCUUGACUUUGGGAUAACUUCAGGAAACUGGGGCUAAUACCGGAUAGGAGCUCCUGCCGCAUGGUGGGGGUUGGAAAGUUUCGGCGGUUGGGGAUGGACUCGCGGCUUAUCAGCUUGUUGGUGGGGUAGUGGCUUACCAAGGCUUUGACGGGUAGCCGGCCUGAGAGGGUGACCGGCCACAUUGGGACUGAGAUACGGCCCAGACGCCUACGGGAGGCAGCAGUGGGGAGUAUGGCACAAUGGGCGGAAGCGUGAUGCAGCAACGCCGCGUGCGGGAUGACGGCCUUCGGGUUGUAAACCGCUUUCGCCUGUGACGAAGCGGGAGUGACGGUAAUGGGUAAAGAAGCACCGGCUAACUACGUG
rnacentral:rRNA from 1 species